rnacentral:rRNA from 1 species
GGACCCACGCCCACAGUUGCCAGCGUACUCUCUGGAGUGACGGGUACACUGUGGGGACCGCCGCUGCUAAAGCGGAGGAAGGAAUGGGCAACGGUAGGUCAGUAUGCCCCGAAUAUCCCGGGCUACACGCGAGCUACAAUGGUUGGUACAAUGGGUAUCUACCCCGAAAGGGGACGGGAAUCUCCUAAAACCAAUCUUAGUUCGGAUUGAGGGCUGCAACUCGCCCUCAUGAAGCUGGAAUCCGUAGUAAUCGCGUUUCAACAGAACGCGGUGAAUACGUCCCUGCUCCUU